AAUCUCACGGCUUAACUGUGAGCGUGCGGGCGAUACGGGCAGACUUGAGUACUGCAGGGGAGACUGGAAUUCCUGGUGUAGCGGUGGAAUGCGCAGAUAUCAGGAGGAACACCGGUGGCGAAGGCGGGUCUCUGGGCAGUAACUGACGCUGAGGAGCGAAAGCGUGGGGAGCGAACAGGAUUAGAUACCCUGGUAGUCCACGCCGUAAACGGUGGGUACUAGGUGUGGGUUUCCUUCCUUGGGAUCCGUGCCGUAGCUAACGCAUUAAGUACCCCGCCUGGGGAGUACGGCCGCAAGGCUAAAACUCAAAGAAAUUGACGGGGGCCCGCACAAGCGGCGGAGCAUGUGGAUUAAUUCGAUGCAACGCGAAGAACCUUACCUGGGUUUGACAUGCACAGGACGCCGGCAGAGAUGUCGGUUCCCUUGUGGCCUGUGUGCAGGUGGUGCAUGGCUGUCGUCAGCUCGUGUCGUGAGAUGUUGGGUUAAGUCCCGCAACGAGCGCAACCCUUGUCUCAUGUUGCCAGCGGGUAAUGCCGGGGACUCGUGAGAGACUGCCGGGGUCAACUCGGAGGAAGGUGGGGAUGACGUCAAGUCAUCAUGCCCCUUAUGUCCAGGGCUUCACACAUGCUACAAUGGCCGGUACAAAGGGCUGCGAUGCCGCGAGGUUAAGCGAAUCCUUUUAAAGCCGGUCUCAGUUCGGAUCGGGGUCUGCAACUCGACCCCGUGAAGU
rnacentral:rRNA from 1 species